UCUGGCUCUAGGUUUGGGACAACCACUGGAAACGGUGGCUAAUACCGGAUAUGCCGAAAGGUGAAAGGUUAACUGCCUGGAGAUGAGCUCGCGUCUGAUUAGCUAGUUGGUAGGGUAAAAGCUUACCAAGGCGACGAUCAGUAGCUGGUCUGAGAGGACGAUCAGCCACACUGGGACUGAGACACGGCCCAGACUCCUACGGGAGGCAGCAGUGGGGAAUUUUCCGCAAUGGGCGAAAGCCUGACGGAGCAAUACCGCGUGAGGGAGGAAGGCUCUUGGGUUGUAAACCUCUUUUCUCAAGGAAGAAUAAUGACGGUACUUGAGGAAUAAGCAUCGGCUAACUCCGUGCCAGCAGCCGCGGUAAUACGGAGGAUGCAAGCGUUAUCCGGAAUGAUUGGGCGUAAAGCGUUCGCAGGUGGCAUUGAAAGUCUGCUGUCAAAGAGUCUGGCUCAACCAGAUACAGGCAGUGGAAACUUCAAAGCUAGAGUGCGGUAGGGGCAGAGGGAAUUCCUGGUGUAGCGGUGAAAUGCGUAGAGUUCAGGAAGAACACCGGUGGCGAAAGCGCUCUGCUAGGCCGCAACUGACACUGAGGGACGAAAGC
rnacentral:rRNA from 1 species